rnacentral:rRNA from 1 species
GUGGGGAAUAUUGGGCAAUGGAUGCAAGUCUGACCCAGCCAUCCCGCGUGCCGGAAGAAGGCCCUCAGGGUUGUAAACGGCUUUUGACGGUGAAGAAUCGACAGGAUGCGUCCUGUUUUGACGGUAGCCGUUGAAUAAGCACCGGCUAACUCCGUGCCAGCAGCCGCGGUAAUACGGAGGGUGCGAGCGUUGUCCGGAUUUAUUGGGUUUAAAGGGUGCGUAGGCUGGAAGGUCAGUCAGCGGUGAAAAGCUGUCGCUUAACGAUAGUCUUGCCGCAGAUACUUCCUUUCUUGGAUGAGGAGGAGGCCACUGGAACGGAUGGUGUAGCGGUGAAAUGCAUAGAUAUCAUCCAGAACACCGAUUGCGAAGGCAGGUGGCUGUACCUUAAUCGACGCUGAUGCACGAAAGCAUGGGGAGCAAACAGGAUUAGAAACCCCUGUAGUCC